ensembl:lncRNA
GUUUCAAAAAGUCCAUUUAUUGCUUGCAAGCAGGAGGCCAAAUACACCAGCACGUAUCACAGCGCUCUGUGGAGAUGCCGUCUCCGAGCAGUAAAAACGCUGAGUUUUUAUACACAUAGGAAGGCCAUUCUCAGUGGCAGGUAGGAGAAGUUGCAAACCAAGUCGAGAUAAGAACCAAGGUUAAGAUGAGGGUAACACACACUGCUCCUUUGUACGAGCGCCCGUGAGAGCAAGUUAAUUCCCUUUUUCAGACACAGCUGCAUAUGGAAACCUUAAAUCUUUUCUGCUUUUGCACAUCAGGGUCAAACAGACACUUGAGACACAGGUUUAGCACAAGCCAAUGUUAUAACAUUUUUACCAUUACAGAACGCGCUUGUAGAGCGCAUAUGAGCCGCUGCAGCGUAGUGGGGGGGCAGUGGCUUUAUGGCAUGAUAGGCAGGCCGUAACAAUCAGUCAGGGCAACCCUGAUCUCACCCUGGACUGCCCUAGGUCACAGGCCCACCUAAAAGGUCACAUUCUUGAGAGACUCUCACUAUGCACAAAUGCCCCCGACAAUCAUGUGAAUGGAAAUUGUAUUUUUCCCUUUUUUAAAGCUUAAGCUGAGCAUAAUGUCUGCAACAUCAUGCUUUUCAGCCCGAAAAUUUGACUUAUUUCAGUCAUCCAGUCCAUUCCUAUUGUGACUAUACUAUUCACAAUACAUUUAUAUGGUGGAGCGUUGAGCAAAAACUGUCUCAUUGUGUGGGUUUCCACCGGCAUUAUCGCAGCCAUUGGUGUUCGCUGCUAUGCAGACUUUGAUUCGACCAUCCCCAGGUCCGGGGGAGACUACUCCUACACCAAAGACAUCUUUGGAGGACUAGCUGGGUAAGAACCAAUGCUGUUUGUCUGAAGCUGCUGAGUCUGGGAUUUUAAAGGUGCAUCGUCUAGUACUUCUGGAGCUCUUUGGGCAGAAAAUCACAAACCGGCUUUGAUAAAUGUUUGCUGUACCUUUUCUUUUUUUUCUUACAGGUUUUUGCUCAAAUGAUUUGUAAACGCUGUGCAAGGUUUGUUGUAGCCGGCCUCUUUGUAGUUGAUGAGAACUUGCAGGAAGUCUGUUGCUCCAUCACAUCAACAACCUGCUGCUGGUGCUGUCAUUCAGGUUUCUGCGUCUGUGGGUCGUGGUGUUGGUUAUCUCCCCCACUAACUAGGCGGUGACUGCGCUCACCUUCUCAAGCUACAUCCUGCAGCCGCUCUUCCACCCUUUGCCUUCCCCCGGAAAGUGCCCUGCGCCUGCUGGCUGCUGCCUGCCUGUGUGAGUCUGUUGUUAAAUUCAAACCAGGAUUAGGUGGCUGUUUUUUUUAGGCUAGGGCAUUAAGAUAGAGCAUGACGCGGCAUUCAAACCUCACUUUGGGCAUUUCAUGAAUUUAUAUAAUUUUAUUAAAUUAAAUGCGGAGGUGUUCCGUGCCCCCUAGACACCGCCGCCGACUGCGGAGGUGUUCCGUGUCCCCGGGCCGCCCACUACUGCGGAGGUGUUCCGUGUCCCCGAGCCGGGCCGACCCCCGGUCCGGGCCAGUACCGGUCCGGGCGACUGCGGAGGGGUUCCUUCCCCCCGAGCCGCCGCCGACUGCGGAGGGGUUCCGUGCCCCCGAGCCCCCGCAGCCGACUGCGGAGGUGUUCCGUGUCCCCGAGCUGCCGCCGCCGACUGCGGAGGUGUUCAGUGUCCCCGGGCCGCCGACUACUGCGCAGUCUUUUAGCAGAUUCUGCUGUGCAUCAGAGAGCCUGACAUGCAUCGACCAUCAAGGUGAACCUGAUUUGGCCGACGAUCUACAUGCUGUUCUGGACCUUCCUCUUGGUCUUCUCCGCGUACUCCGAGCCUGUCGUCUCCUGUACUGGUGUGGCUGUCAUGUUGACUGGUGUCCCUGUAUAUUUCCUGGGAGUACUCGGAAAACAAGCCCAAGUGUUGUGAUAUUACCAUUGGUAAAAUUACUCAUUUGUCCCAAAAGCUGUGUUCGGUGGUCCAGCCGGAGGAGAGAUGGGAGCCCUGCGAGCCACAAAACAAAGACUGAGACCACAACAAUGAUAAUGAAGAAGACCGAUUGAAACAUGCAUAAUCAAACACUCACUAUGAUGCUCACUUUGGGCUUAAAGAAAAAAAAGUGGUACCUGGGGAAGUGAGAGAAAUGAAUAUACAUCUUCGUGUUAGUGUC